AUGCAGGAAAUUGUUUGUGGAUCUGCGGGAAAAGCCGGAUUGGAAAACACUGGAUCAUGCCGGUGUGAAUGCCCCACAUUAAUAAGGCUGCUCCGAUCAAAUGACAAUGGUUGGUACAUAGCUGAGCAUCGUGAAGAACACAACCAUUCUCUGUCACCCACAUAUGGGCAGAAAAUACACUGGCCGGCCCACAAGCACAUAGAUGUCUACAACAGAGAUUUGGUGGAGCAGUUGCGACAAAAAAAUGUGAAUCUAGCCAAAGUACACAACAUCAUCGGAAGCUUUUUUGGUUCAAUGGAGAAGGUGCCUUUCACAAAAAGGGCUCUGAAGAAUUUGUGUGGUAAAAUCAGCAGAGAGCGGGCGGAGGAUGAUGUGAGGAAGACUAUGGAGGUUUUCGCAGAUUUGGGUUCAAGAGAUCCACAUUUCACUUAUCAUGUCCAGGCUGAGAAAGAUGGUCGGAUAACGACUCUUAUGUGGGCAAAUGGAAGCGGCAUGUUGCAAACACAUUCUUCGGAGACGUUGUCACCUUCGAUAGGACAUAUAGAACCAACCUGUACAACAUGCCAUUUGGUCUGUUUGUAG
rnacentral:rRNA from 1 species